rnacentral:rRNA from 1 species
GAAGAAUCCAGAGAUGGAUUUGUGCCUUCGGGAACUGUGAGACAGGUGCUGCAUGGCUGUCGUCAGCUCGUGUUGUGAAAUGUUGGGUUAAGUCCCGCAACGAGCGCAACCCUUAUCCUUUGUUGCCAGCGGUUAGGCCGGGAACUCAAAGGAGACUGCCAGUGAUAAACUGGAGGAAGGUGGGGAUGACGUCAAGUCAUCAUGGCCCUUACGACCAGGGCUACACACGUGCUACAAUGGCGCAUACAAAGAGAAGCGACCUCGCGAGAGCAAGCGGACCUCAUAAAGUGCGUCGUAGUCCGGAUUGGAGUCUGCAACUCGACUCCAUGAAGUCGGAAUCGCUAGUAAUCGUGGAUCAGAAUGCCACGGUGAAUACGUUCCCGGGCCUUGUACACACCGCCCGUCACACCAUGGGAGUGGGUUGCAAAAGAAGUAGGUAGCUUAACCUUCGGGAGGGCGCUUACCACUUUGUGAUUCAUGACUGGGGUGAAGUCGUAACAAGGUAACCGUAGGGGAACCUGCGGUUGGAUCACCUCCUUACCUUAAAGAA